AACGAACGCUGGCGGCAUGCCUAACACAUGCAAGUCGAACGAUACCUUCGGGUCUUUUUUCGCACGGGUUCGUAACGCGUUGGAACCUUCCCUUAUGUUCGGAAUAACUCCCCGAAAGGGGUGCUAAUACCGGAUAAUUUCUUCUGACCAAAGAUUUAUCGCCUUUGGAUGGGCCCGCGUUGGAUUAGCUAGUUGGUAGGGUAAAAGCCUACCAAGGCGACGAUACAUAGCUGGUCUGAGAGGAUGAUCAGCCACACUGGGACUGAGACACGGCCCAGACUAGUACGGGAGGGAGGAGUGGGGAAUAUUGGAAAAUGGGGGAAAGGAUGAAAAAGCAAUGACGGGUGAGUGAGGAAGGGAUUAGGGAAGUAAAGCACAAUUAAAAGGGAAGAUAAUGACAGUACCGGGAGAAUAAGCACCGGCUAACUACGUG
rnacentral:rRNA from 1 species